UACGUAGGCAGCAAGCGUUGUUCGGAGUUACUGGGCGUAAAGGGUGUGUAGGCGGUUCUUUAAGUUUGGUGUGAAAUCUCCCGGCUCAACCGGGAGGGUGCGCCGAAUACUGAGUGACUAGAGUGCGGGAGAGGAAAGUGGAAUUCCUGGUGUAGCGGUGAAAUGCGUAGAUAUCGGGAAGAACACCCGUGGCGAAGGCGGCUCUCUGGGACGGUACUGACGCUGAGACGCGAAAGCGUGGGGAGCGAACAGG
rnacentral:rRNA from 1 species